rnacentral:rRNA from 1 species
GACGAACGCUGGCGGCGUGCUUAACACAUGCAAGUCGAACGAUGAAGCUGGAGCUUGCUCCGGUGGAUUAGUGGCGAACGGGUGAGUAACACGUGAGCAAUCUGCCCUUGACUCUGGGAUAACUGCGGGAAACUGUAGCUAAUACCGGAUACGAGAUUUGGAGGCAUCUCCGGAUCUGGAAAGAAUUUCGGUCAAGGAUGAGCUCGUGGCCUAUCAGCUUGUUGGUGAGGUAAUGGCUCACCAAGGCGACGACGGGUAGCCGGCCUGAGAGGGUGACCGGCCACACUGGGACUGAGACACGGCCCAGACUCCUACGGGAGGCAGCAGUGGGGAAUAUUGCACAAUGGGCGAAAGCCUGAUGCAGCAACGCCGCGUGAGGGAUGAAGGCCUUCGGGUUGUAAACCUCUUUUAGUAGGGAAGAAGCGAAAGUGACGGUACCUACAGAAAAAGCACCGGCUAACUACGUGCCAGCAGCCGCGGUAA